GUUUCUAUAAACUUACAUAUAUACGUAGAAAAAAUUUGAAGAAAUUGAACGCUUAUUUGAAUAGUCGACAAAUAACGGUUAACCGGAUAGUUUAUAGUUAGAUAUUAAAGGUCAUAAACUUCUAGUCGGCUAAAUUUAUAUUAAAACAUUGUGGUACGUGAUGGUGGAGGUGGAAAAAGUCAACAAGAGUAUUGGAAUUCAUUACAUUAGGGAUAUAAAGAUUAAAACCAUUAAUAUAAUUUUAGAACAUUUAAGAAAACUUAUACAUUUAAUUUCACUAAAAUACCACACAGUUUGACCAACCUUAGCGAUUUAAAGCCUGCCAGAAAAUAGUCUGAGCUAAUUAUACUUACUUUACAUUACAUACAUUGGUCAGGUAAACUCGGGAACAUUUAUCAAGUAAUUUGCAAAUACAUACAUAGGUUGUCAAAAAAGUCUUGGGGUAUUUUCGCUAGUUGGCGCUGAAAGCGCGUAGUUCUAGUUGUAUUCGUCUCAUCGGGUCAUGCUAUACCUUUUUAGAAAGCUCAUUUCACGCGCUAACACGUUUGUGAUUGAUUGUCGUUUCUUUUAAGUCCUUCGUGAGUUAUAGCGUCGCAAACAGGGAGCAAAAUAAAGAGAAAAUACGGCAUAUUUUACAGUACUACUACGAUAAAGGCAAAAAUGCAUCUCAAGCCGCCAAUAAAAUUUGUGCAGUUUAUGGACCCGAUACAGUUUCCAUUUCUACCGCACAACGAUGGUUUCAACGUUUUCGUUCUGGUGUAGAGGUGGUCGAAGAUGCGCCACGCUCCGGAAGGCCUGUCGUCGAAAAUUGCGAUAAAAUCGCUGAAUUGGUCGAAAGAGACCGGCAUAGUAGCAGCCGUAGCAUCGGUCAAGAGCUGGGCAUGAGUCAUCAAAAAUUCAUUUUAAUUUCAAUAAAAAAAAAAUCAAUAAAAAUACCGCAAGACUUUUUUGACAACCCAUUAUAACUUACACAUUGACUGACUGUUCGGCUUUUGGUUUGUUAGAAUAACGAAAAUCAUUGAAUGUAGCAUUUGGGAUACGGUACAAUUGGUAGAUAAAUUUCACUUAUUUUCGUCAUUGGAUUAUACCAUGUCCAAUAUGAUACGAUCAGUUUAUUGUACCACGAAAUCGCACAUGUUUACUGCCACAUACCUUGUAAAGGUUAUGGAAAACUUGAAAAUCUUUUUUUAGAUACAUAUAUGGGAUAAAAGGAUAGUAUUGACCUGAUUUUAUAUAAUUUUAGCAAAAUAGUAUAAUAUUUACAAAAGAAAAUGCUUUCGACGUUUAAUUCACGUGUCUCACAUAAAAUCACCUGUUCAUACCCAAUGAACACAUCCCUGCAUUGUCCUCUAAUUCGUAUUUAGACGAGUUAUGAGGACAAUGCAUAAAACACCCAACAGCGCCAACAUAACAACGAAUUACCCAACAAACAGAAACACACAACAAAAAGAGAUACCACAGCGGACGGACAUAUAGGCGCCAAAAGAACAGCAGCAGUAUCAGCAGCAACAAUAACCACAGCAGCAGAAUCAAAGGUCUCAACGCGGGAGUAAAAAACCAUAUCAGGUUACAUUUAAAUAUAUAAUUGAAUUUAUUAUAAUUGUAGUUAUAUUCAUAAAACAACAUAUAAUUAUACCCACUCACGUAUAACCACAUAAUUUUAUAUACAAUUAACCCACAUCUUUAUAUCACACUUGUUCGCUAUACCCUCAAAUAUACAAAUUUGUAUUAUUAUCAAAUCCUAAUACAUAAUUUUUAUUUUAUUUGGCAUACCGGCAAACACACGUCGAUCACCCCGACAUUUUGGUCCUUCGAGCCGAAUUGUCUGCCUAUUAAAAUAAACCCACGCAAUUAACCAUCGUUUGGAUCAUCAGGAUUUACAGAAAUUCACCAACCCAACAACCAUCCUUCGGAUCUUCAAGAUAUUAUAUUAUUUUCAAUCACCCUUCGGUUCAUCAGGAUUACGAUAUUCAUCCAUCCAACUAACCCAACCCAACAUUGGAUUUAUGUAACCCAACUUUGAAGGUGCACAGCUAAGCAUCGCACAAAGAUGGCAGAAACUGAAGAUACUCCAUCAACACUUCUGCAAACGAUGGCAAGAAGAAUAUUUGAAAGAACUCCACAAUACACUCAGAGCAAUAUAGACGUCAACGAUAUGCUAGUUAUACGUCAAGAAACUCUACCCCUAAAUGAGUGGAGACUUGGUCGCAUAGAAAAAACGUAUCUCGGUGCAGACAAUAAAGCAAGAGUAGUUGACAUGCGUACCUCUCAGGGAACAAUUACCCGCCCAAUAACCAAAAUAGUCACUUUACCAAAUUAUUAAUCUUAUUUUCUUAUAGUGACAUGGGCCCUCAAACCAGUACGAAGCCAAUUUGCAGCCGCCAAAGCAGCCCCACUAUCACUGUGGGAUUACUCAGCGUAACCCGUAGCAUCAGCCCACUCUCCGACGAGGGAACUCUGGCAAUACGUCUUCAUCGCUUUAAAGCGACCCUUUCCCCUAUUCGAGAGGAGCGGGGAAGUACCCAUCGCACGGCCCGGCGUACUAUCAGCCGUUCAUCAAAAUGAAUACACAAACACGUCGCCUGUGGAUUGUGUAAAAAAGAUCAUAGACUGGUAACAUGUUCAAAAUUCACUUAAAUGAACAUCAACGAAAAGUUUGACGCAGUCAUUAAGUAAAAGUAUUGCGUCAAUUGCUUGGCCAGAUCGCAUUCUACCCAAAAGUGCAGAAGUAAAAAACGAUGUGCCACGUGUAAUGGGGAGCACCAUUCAACCCUACAUGGGCACCCCAGGUUGUUCUGCAAAGAGCCAAAGAAAACAUCAAAAAGCGAAGUAAGAUCAUAUAGACAAAAAGAUCUACCCACGUUACUGGCCAAGCCGACCCUCAUACCAACUGUCAUGAUCAAAGUCAAACACGAUGACAAAUGGAACAAAAUACGAGCCAUAACCAACCCGACCCGAAAGGUGACUAUUAUUGCGUCAGAACUGGUUCAGAGACUGAGGUUACCGAAAACGUACCUCGACUCGCACCCCGAUAAUAGCACCGUGAUCGUACAAAAUACCGUACUCGGUUGGACUUUAACCGGUGCUUGUGCGAUUUAAACCCAAGUAUACCUCACACCCGUUCAUAACAAUACUCAUUUACCCAAAUCAAAAUAGAUCUAAAAAUCUUUUUAUUCGCAGACACUGCAAGGCGGCCGGGAUGUUCAUACCAAAUGAAUUCAUCCCUGCAUUGUCCUCCUAACUCGUCUAAAUACGAAUUAGAGGACAAUGCAUAAAACACCCAACAGCGCCAACAUAACAACGAAUUAGCCAACACACAGAAACACACAAUAAAAAAAAAGAGAUACCACAGCGGACGGACAUAUAGGCGCCAAAACAACAGCAGCAGUAUUAGCAGCAACAAUAACCACAGCAGCAGAAUCAAAGGUCUCAACGCUGGAGUAAAAAAACACAUCAGGUUACAUUUAAAUAUGAAUUUAUUAUAAUUGUAGUUAUAUUCAUAAAACAACACACAAUUAUACCCACUCACAUAUAGCCACAUAAUUGUAUAUACAAUUAACCCACAUCUUUAUAUCACACUUGUUCGCUACAUAUACCCUCAAAUAUACAAAUUUUUAUUAUUAUCAAAUCCUAAUAAUUUUUAUUUUAUUUGGCAUACCGGCAAACACACGUCGAUCACCCCGACAUCACCAAUUGAGUAAAGGUUGUUUCAAAAUCCCGAAUAUCAAUUAAAUGAGAACUGGGAGCGCUAACAGAACGGCUGCACCAAUCUUGAUGACAUUUUCAGAGGUUGUUCGCUGUGGAUCAAAGAAGGAUUUUGAAAUAAAAAUACCUUAUACUUGUCAUUAAGAAAAGUCGGAAAAUUGGAUAAUUCCAAAAAGUAACUUUUUUCCAUAAAAUUUUUUUUUUCAAUUUUUGUUUGUAUUGUUUUUCAAUAUUUUGAUUUGUAAAUUAUUUGAAUCGUUCAAUUUCGGUCGCUUGCUUUUUUAUUCCGGCUAUUCAAAAGAAACAUUAUCGAAAAUUAUUCAGUGAAAAUUUUACGUGUGUUUCAUACAAAGAGGUCAAUUGCAGAUUGAAAUUUGUUACGAAGCCACGAAGAGGUCGCCCUAAUAUCGGUCGGCGUUCUUUUUGCCAUCAACGUAUAUAUAUAUAUGGCAACCCAAGGCCAGGCAAGGCAAAAAGUACUUCCAGGAUGCGGUGACAAAUGUGAGGAAUUAUGGAUCGCGGUCAAUCAGCAAGCGAUCGUCACGAUGUCACAGCAUGAUUUUUCAAACAACAGUUACGAUGUUUGAUAGCCUUUAUCUUGAAGCAACGUAUAUGUGGUGCUGUUAGAUGCUAGAUGUACUCUGCUGAGUGGCAAAAGAGAGGUUUGCCGCACGAGUUACAUGUACGACUACGUUUGUAAAAACACCUGACAAGGCAGUUGAUAAAUACGUCGAACUGUUAAAGCAAAUUGCAACAUAACACCAUUUCCGGCUUUUGCAAUUUGCUUAAACAAAUAAAGUAAUAAAAAAUUAAUUUAAUAAGUAAAUUUCGUAAGAAUUAUUUUAAUUAAUAAAAGAAUGCUUAUUCAGCAAUAAUAUGUUAAAAAUAAGUGAAUAUUAUUAAUAAGCAAUUUGUAAUUAGAAUAAGCUUCAUUUUAAGUAAAUUUUAUCAAAUAAAGUAGUCUGUUCUGGAUGUCCAACAA